UCUUCCUCCCCGCGUGUGCCGAACCCGAGCCCUAACUGCUCGGAACAGUUUCUCCUCCUCUUCAUUUCUUCUGCCCGAGCCGCUAACCCUUCUCCCCUCACCUUGCGACAGCGUCGGUUCUUCCGCCUCCUUCCCAGCGCCAAGCGCCGCCGAGUUUCCUCCUACCGAGGCUGCGCUCUAGCUUCUCCGCCGUCCGUCGCCGUCGAACGGAGAGCGCCGACCACCCUUCCUCUGCCCUAGACAAACCCCAGCGUCGGCCGCCGUCAACUGUGCCCUAACGUCGGCCUCAUCUUCACUUUCUUCCCUAGCCACCCCAUGCCCUAGCCUCUCCACCUCUGCACACCGCUGAUAGCCGACCCUUUCUUCUGCCUUGGGUUCUGCCGAGCCUUCCUUUCUUCCUCUACCCUCUGACCCAAUGUCCACUGCCGACGCCAAGGUCCAGCAACCUUCUGCCGUGCUUUAGACUCCACUGGCGAGUCUUCCUUCUUCGCCACCAGUCGCCGGCAGAGAGAAAACAGGGGGUGACGAGUAGCAGCCAACAGCCCUUAGCGGCGCAAUUUCCGCUAUCAACUCUUUGAUUCCAGUUCAAAACAGGGGAUGUGAAGUUAGGUAAGGAGUGGGAAUCUUGGUACGUGUUGAGAUGAUGAAGGAACAGUGAACUCUUUCUUCACAGAUCACAGGGGAGUGUUUUGCUAUCCUGCUACUAUAUUAGAGGAUUUUGACGCGAGGUGCGUAUCUCGAUUACCGGAUUGGACCAUUUUAUCGGAGG